GAACCCUUAAAAAUAACAUUAUAUUAUUGUUAGUAGCUUUUUAUUCAAUAAGUAUUUAGAUUAUAAAAUACUAUUUAACUAUCUGUUCCUUAAUUAAUUUGACAUUAUCAAGAAUGAAUGAUUGGAUAUAACAUUAUUUUGGAAUAACAAACUAUCGGGUGAAAAGUCUAUUCCAUUAGUAACUGGACAAUAUUUAUCAAUCCCAUUGAUGAAGUGAAUGUACACAGAUUUCUAUCUGAUUAAUUAAGGAACAGGUGGAUAGUUUGCAAUAUUUUUCAUCUUUUAAUAUUAUUCGACAUACCUAUAUAAUUAACAACAAUAUUAUACCCUUUUAUUAUUGUUAUAAUUUAACACAAAUAUUAAUUUGUAUUUAUCUAAGACUGCCAAUAUUGUCUUCCACAUAAUGUAUACAGUUAUAUUAUUAUAAUACUCUUUCAGUAAUACCAAUUUAAUGAAAUACACAUUAUAAUAUCUUAAAAAUUGUAGUUUUUUUAAUCAAACAAUUAAUGUACAUUAUAAUAUCAAUAAUUUUAUUG